AAUCAACGCUGGCGGCGUGCCUAACACAUGCAAGUCGAACGAGAAAGUGGAGCAAUCCAUGAGUACAGUGGCGUACGGGUGAGUAACACGUGACUAACCUACCCUCGAGUGGGGAAUAACCUCGGGAAACCGGGGCUAACACCGCAUAAUAUCUUCGGAUCAAAUGCGCAAGCAGCUUGAGGAGGGGGUCGCGGCCGAUUAGCUAGUUGGUGGGGUAAUGGCCCACCAAGGCAAUGAUCGGUAGCCGGCCUGAGAGGGCGCACGGCCACACUGG
rnacentral:rRNA from 1 species